CAGAAACAUCUUUAGCUAUACAGUUAUAGGUUGAGAACAUUUUUUCAUUCCAAAGUUUACUGUCAGAAGACUACGAUUCUGUAUUCCUGGUUUUGAAGCUGUUGAACUAUUUGCUUUAUUGAAAAGUCUGCUGUUUCAAAAUUAUUAUUUUGUCCAGAGUUUGGCUAGGAAGCAACGCUUUCAUUUUUAAAGGUACAACAGUUAUCAACAGGCACAGCUGCUGGUGUGAACCGGACCAGCUCCAUGAAUUAUUUCCUGUGACAGAUCAUGCAGGGCUCUUUGGUUUUUGAUUUAACUGGUUUCAGAAAUUGUUAUCAAUGUCAGUCCUGGAGUCAAACACUUUGCGAGUAGCUGGAUUUACACUAGGAUUGUUAGGCUGCAUUCUAACAUUCCUCACACUGAUGGACCAACCCUGGAGGUUGCUGCGUGUUCACAACUCCACCAAGUAUAUGCCUGGUAUCACCCAGCUGGGAUUAUGGAAGAUAUGCCUUCCUCCUACCCUGAAAGGAGCUGAUAACUAUAGUCUAAUUUGUUGUCACAAGUUUAGAUUUUAUGAGCGAUUCUUCCCAAUGGAAAUGAGGCUUGGACAAAU